GAUGAACGCUGGCGGCGUGCCUAAUACAUGCAAGUCGAGCGAACAGACGAGGAGCUUGCUCCUCUGACGUUAGCGGCGGACGGGUGAGUAACACGUGGAUAACCUACCUAUAAGACUGGGAUAACUUCGGGAAACCGGAGCUAAUACCGGAUAAUAUAUUGAACCGCAUUGUUCAAUAGUGAAAGACGGUUUUGCUGUCACUUAUAGAUUGAUCCGCGCCGCAUUAGCUAGUUGGUUAGGUAACGGCUUACCAAGGCAACGAUGCGUAGCCGACCUGAGAGGGUGAUCGGCCACACUGGAACUGAGACACGGUCCAGACUCCUACGGGAGGCAGCAGUAGGGAAUCUUCCGCAAUGGGCGAAAGCCUGACGGAGCAACGCCGCGUGAGUGAUGAAGGUCUUCGGAUCGUAAAACUCUGUUAUUAGGGAAGAACAAAUGUGUAAGUAACUAUGCACGUCUUGACGGUACCUAAUCAGAAAGCCACGGCUAACUGCGUG
rnacentral:rRNA from 1 species